rnacentral:rRNA from 1 species
AUUGAACGCUGGCGGCAGGCCUAACACAUGCAAGUCGAACGGUAACAGGAAACAGCUUGCUGUUUCGCUGACGAGUGGCGGACGGGUGAGUAAUGUCUGGGAAACUGCCUGAUGGAGGGGGAUAACUACUGGAAACGGUAGCUAAUACCGCAUAACGUCGCAAGACCAAAGAGGGGGACCUUCGGGCCUCUUGCCAUCGGAUGUGCCCAGAUGGGAUUAGCUAGUAGGUGGGGUAACGGCUCACCUAGGCGACGAUCCCUAGCUGGUCUGAGAGGAUGACCAGCCACACUGGAACUGAGACACGGUCCAGACUCCGACGGGAGGCAGCAGUGGGGAAUAUUGCACAAUGGGCGCAAGCCUGAUGCAGCCAUGCCGCGUGUAUGAAGAAGGCCUUCGGGUUGUAAAGUACUUUCAGCGGGGAGGAAGGUGUUGCGGUUAAUAACCGCAGCAAUUGACGUUACCCGCAGAAGAAGCACCGGCUAACUCCGUGCCAGCCGCCGUAACAC